GCAUAUCAAUAAGCGGAGGAAAAGAAACUAACAAGGAUUCCCCUAGUAACGGCGAGUGAAGCGGGAUGAGCUCAAAUUUAAAAUCUGGCGGCCUCAGGUCGUCCGAGUUGUAGUCUAGAGAAUCGUUUUCCGCGUUGGCCUGUGUACAAGUCCCUUGGAACAGGGCGUCAUAGAGGGUGAGAAUCCCGUCCUUGACACAGACUACCAAUGCUUUGUGAUGCGAUCUCGAAGAGUCGAGUUGUUUGGGAAUGCAGCUCAAAAUGGGUGGUAAAUUCCAUCUAAAGCUAAAUAUUGGCGAGAGACCGAUAGCGAACAAGUACCGUGAGGGAAAGAUGAAAAGCACUUUGGAAAGAGAGUUAAACAGUACGUGAAAUUGUUAAAAGGGAAACGAUUGAAGUCAGUCAUGCUUUCCGAGACUCAGCCGAUUCUGUCGGUGUACUUCUCGGUUGGCAGGCCAGCAUCAGUUUCGAUCUGUGGAAAAGGUUGGAGGGAACGUGGCAUCCUCGGAUGUGUUAUAGCCCUUCUUCGAAUACAUAGAGCGGGACUGAGGAACGCAGCGCGCCUUUUAUUAGGUUGGCCCUCGGGUACAUACGCGCUUAGGAUGCUGGCAUAAUGGCUUUAAACGACCCGUCUUGAAACACGGACCAAGGAGUCUAACAUGUUUGCGAGUGUUUGGGUGGUAAACCCGAACGCGUAAUUAAAGUGAAUGCAGGUGGGAUCCGCAAGGAGCACCAUCGACCGAUCUGGAUCUUUUGUGAUGGAUUUGAGUAAGAGCACAUAUGUUGGGACCCGAAAGAUGGUGAACUAUGCCUGAAUAGGGCGAAGCCAGAGGAAACUCUGGUGGAGGCUCGUAGCGAUUCUGACGUGCAAAUCGAUCGUCAAAUUUGGGUAUAGGGGCGAAAGACUAUCGAAACAUCUAGUAGCUGGUUCCUGCCGAA
rnacentral:rRNA from 1 species